rnacentral:rRNA from 1 species
UUACUCCUACGGGAGGCAGCAGUGGGGAAUAUUGCACAAUGGGGGAAACCCUGAUGCAGCGACGCCGCGUGAGUGAAGAAGUAUUUCGGUACGUAAAGCUCUAUCAGCAGGGAAGAAAAAAAGUCCUUUGGACUUUGGACGGUACCUGACCAAGAAGCCCCGGCUAACUACGUGCCAGCAGCCGCGGUAAUACGUAGGGGGCAAGCGUUAUCCGGAUUUACUGGGUGUAAAGGGAGCGUAGGUGGCAUGGUAAGCCAGAAGUGAAAACCCAGGGCUCAACUCUGUGGAUUGCUUUUGGAACUAUC